rnacentral:tRNA from 1 species
UGGGAUAUAGCUCAGUGGUAGAGCACUUAUCUAGUAUGUGUGAGGCCUUGGGUUCCUUCCCAGUAUUGCAG